rnacentral:rRNA from 1 species
CACGUAGGGCGCGAGCGUUGUCCGGAAUUAUUGGGCGUAAAGAGCUCGUAGGCGGCCUGUUGCGUCCGCUGUGAAAGCCCGGGGCUUAACCCCGGGUCGGCAGUGGAUACGGGCAGGCUAGAGGUAGGUAGGGGAGAAUGGAAUUCCCGGUGUAGCGGUGAAAUGCGCAGAUAUCGGAAGGAACACCUGUGGCGAAAGCGGCUCACUGGACCAUUACUGACGCUGAGGCACGAAAGCUAGGGGAGCAAACAGG